rnacentral:rRNA from 1 species
UACGUAGGGUGCAAGCGUUAAUCGGAAUUACUGGGCGUAAAGCGUGCGCAGGCGGUUGUGUAAGACAGAUGUGAAAUCCCCGGGCUCAACCUGGGAACUGCAUUUGUGACUGUAGAGCUGGAGUACGGCAGAGGGGGAUGGAAUUCCGCGUGUAGCAGUGAAAUGCGUAGAUAUGCGGAGGAACACCGAUGGCGAAGGCAAUCCCCUGGGCCUGUACUGACGCUCAUGCACGAAAGCGUGGGGAGCAAACAGG